UAUAUAUAUAAUUGCAAAUAAUACUAUUUGAACUAUCCUCCUACUUAUGGUCGCAUUGUAAACAGUGGGGCGGUACUUCUGCCGGUGCCGGCAUGACCUUUCAACGUGAUGACGUAGUUCCCUGUCUGUUUGUUGAUCAGCUCAGUCCGAACUAUUGAAGGUAAAAAGUCUAUAAAUUAUAAUUUCACAUUUUUAUGAAAAUGACCUAUCGUUUUACUAGAUAACAACCUCUUCUUCAGCUGUGAUCGUGUACAGCCCGUUUAAACACUUCAAAGACUUUUGAAACUGCAUUUGGACAUAAAAACGAUGGCAACCAAUGAAGUCCAUUGUUAGAUGAAAAAUCCAGAAAUGUUUUCUUCAAAAAACAUAAUUUCUCUCGCACUGAGGAAAGAAAGACAUGGAUAUCUUGGAUGGCAUUGGGGUUGGGACCAACAUGGUUGAAUAUUUAAACCAUGAGAUGACUGGAGCAUUGCUGCACAUUCUGUGCCUCAGUGAUGAGACAAGGGGGACAUCACAGACCUCUGCCAUUAUUCCAGGCCACGCCAUUGAGACUGAGUCUUUGUUGGAGGCGGUUGAUCUUUGCUUUAAAGCUUUUUUUGUUUUUGAUGUUCAGUACACCAAGCAGUGUCUCCCCACCUGGGAGUUUCUCCAGCAUGCUGUAUAUCAAAUUGAAGGAAAAGAGUCCUCCUCUGUAAAGUUUUUGAGGACAACAGUGGUUUCAGGCCCACAUGAUAUGUAGAUGAUUUUAAAAUGUAUUUUCUUGCUGUUCUUAAAACAACAUAUCUUAAUAAAUUAAAUUGUAAUCGCAUGAGAGUUCAAAUUAGUUGUUUAAUGACUUUUAAUGCCUGAAUAUUUGGACAGAUUUACAUUUGUUAUAAAGUCUGUGGGGAAGGGUGAAUGUCAGAGGUUGUGUGGGUGGGGGUUGGGAUGGGGGGGGGGGUAAAGAAUGUAUUCAAUAUUGUAUACAAACAAAGUAUUAAAGAAAUGUAUUGUUUUUAAAGAAAUAAUAUGUUUUAAAUUAAAUGAGAUUGAUAUCACAUAUACAUGGCCUCUCUGGUUUAUUGUAUUAGAGAGACAAUAAUUAUUUU
rnacentral:lncRNA from 1 species